GAGUUUGAUCGUGGCUCAGGACGAACGCUGGCGGCGCGCCUAACACAUGCAAGUCGAACGGAGCAUACGGGAGGAAGUUUUCGGAUGGAAUCCGGUAUUGCUUAGUGGCGGACGGGUGAGUAACACGUGAGCAACCUGCCUAUCAGAGGGGGAUAACGAUUGGAAACGAUCGCUAAUACCGCAUAACGCAGCGAGGAGGCAUCUUCUUGCUGCCAAAGAUUUAUCGCUGAUAGAUGGGCUCGCGUCCGAUUAGAUAGUUGGUGAGGUAACGGCCCACCAAGUCGACGAUCGGUAGCCGGACUGAGAGGUCGAACGGCCACAUUGGGACUGAGACACGGCCCAGACUCCUACGGGAGGCAGCAGUGGGGGAUAUUGCAC
rnacentral:rRNA from 1 species